CGGCUGGUGGGCGACCGGGCGCAUCCCCAUUGCAGUGCGGCGGCCCUACCCCGGCCCUGGCCUGACCCCGGCGGCCUUGCCCGCCCCUCCCUCCAGCAUCAUGGCCAGCCCAAGAACCAGGAAGGUUCUUAAAGAAGUCAGGGUGCAGGAUGAGAAUAACGUUUGUUUUGAGUGUGGCGCAUUCAAUCCUCAGUGGGUCAGUGUGACCUACGGCAUCUGGAUCUGCCUGGAGUGCUCGGGGAGACACCGCGGGCUUGGGGUGCACCUCAGCUUUGUGCGCUCUGUGACUAUGGACAAGUGGAAGGACAUUGAGCUUGAGAAGAUGAAAGCUGGUGGGAAUGCUAAGUUCCGAGAGUUCCUGGAGUCUCAGGAGGAUUACGAUCCUUGCUGGUCCUUGCAGGAGAAGUACAACAGCAGAGCCGCGGCCCUCUUUAGGGAUAAGGUGGCCGCUCUGGCCGAAGGCAGAGAGUGGUCUCUGGAAUCAUCACCUGCCCAGAACUGGACCCCACCUCAGCCCAGGACGCUGCCGUCCACGGUGCACCGAGCCUCUGGCCAGCCGCAGAGUGUGACUGCCUCCUCGGACAAGGCUUUUGAAGACUGGCUGAAUGAUGACCUCGGCUCCUAUCAAGGGUAAGGACUUGAGAGCUGGGGACGCCUCAGGCGGGCCAGACCCACAGGGUUCGGUCUGGUGGGUAGGGCUGCUUCCCUUGGGGCCUCCCAUGUGCAGUGGGUGUGGGACCCAGGCAUGUGUGGUGCAGGGUCUGAUUGCAGUGAGCCCCAGCCAGCCCAGUGUGAAUUGGGGGUCUUAGGUGUAUUGCAGUGAGCCCCAGCUGCCCAGGUGUGAAUUGGGGGUCUUAGGUAUAUUGCAGUGACCUCCAGCUGCCCAGGUGUGAAUUGGGGGUCUUGGGUGUAUUGCGGUGAGCCCCAGCUGCCCAGGUGUGAAUUGGGGGUCUUGGGUGUAGAGAAGAGCUAACACUU
rnacentral:sRNA from 1 species